rnacentral:rRNA from 1 species
AGGACGAACGCUGGCGGCGUGCUUAACACAUGCAAGUCGAGCGGAAAGGCCCUUCGGGGUACUCGAGCGGCGAACGGGUGAGUAACACGUGAGCAAUCUGCCCUUAGCUUCGGGAUAGCCCCGGGAAACCGGGAUUAAUACCGAAUACGACCUCGGCCGACAUCGGCUUUGGUGGAAAGUUUUUCGGCUAGGGAUGAACUCGCGGCCUAUCAGCUUGUUGGUGGGGUAAUGGCCUACCAAGGCGACGACGGGUAGCCGGCCUGAGAGGGCGACCGGCCACACUGGGGACUGAGACACGGCCCAGACUCCUACGGGAGGCAGCAGUGGGGAAUAUUGCGCAAUGGGCGAAAGCCUGACGCAGCGACGCCGCGUGGGGGAUGAAGGCCUUCGGGUUGUAAACCCCUUUCAGCAGGGACGAAGCGAGAGUGACGGUACCUGCAGAAGAAGCGCCGGCUAACUACGCGCCAGCAGCCGC